GCCCCUGCCUCCUGCCUUUCCCUGUGCAUGCUCUGAGCCCGAGAGGACGACUAAGAGAGCGUGACAGAGGGGCUUCGGGAUGCCGCCUCCGUGGGCAGCGGCUCUGCAGGGCACACAGACCCACGUUUCUACCCCAUGUGAGAAGUCAUAUUGCCUUGGGGCCGCCAUGCUGUGAGGAAUCCCAAGCUAACCACAUAGAAAGGUGAUGUGGAGGACCACCAAGGCACUAAGCAGGAGCCUGGCAUGAGCAGAAGUUCUGAACCCACUGGGCUGUGCAGUGGAGGAGAAGGUGGGCUUUCACACAGAGCCUGGCCAGCUCGGAGCAGGGGCAGAGGGAGACUCAGGCUCUUCCUUCCAGGGACUGCAGACAGCUUGGCAGAGGCCAGGCAGGCCCAGAUGGGACGAGAUCUGGCUGCCAGGCUGAGGAGUUUGGACUUGGAAAUUUAAAAGCCCUUCAGGAAGCCUCUGCAAAAGACUGGCCUGUCAUUGAUAAUUAAAAGAAAAAAAAUCGACCACAAUGCAAGGCAAGGAGUGGCCUUUGGUAGAGGCCGGGCAGGAUCCAGGGGGGUGUGGCCGGGCUCAGGCAUGGGCAGGCCCAGAUCCUGUGCAUCCUGCUGUCGGUGCCUCCCACCUCUUUCCCCUUGACACCCGCCUCACCCUGGUCGUUUCCAAAGAAGGUCCAAGACCCCCACCGUGGCCCUGCCCUGACAGGUGGAGGAGCUCUGAGCCUCCUGUGGGAGCUAGAGCUUAGCUUGGGCCAAGGAACCUGCACCCGUGGAGGAUAGUGGGCAAGCCGCUCUGCCCUAAGCGGGGAGGCUAUUUUGGGUUCAGAACCAGGCUGGAUGAAUUCUGUCCUUCUGCCGGCAGCCCUGGGAGCUCCAUCUGCUCCAGGGAACAGGUUGAGAGCUUCAUCAGAUGGUCCUUAAAACCCAGGCGCUCUGCGGAGGCCUGCCUGGGCCUGAGCCACUUCUGACCACGUCCUGAGGAGAGAGGCCAUUUCUUUUACUGUCUCCUGUCUCUGAAGAGAAGGAGGAAGUAAAAGUUGAAACACAACAGGAAUGAAGUCAGUGGCAAAACCAGCCGGUGCCACUGAUGACCAGGCCUGAGGUUAAAAGAUUAACCCCCACUCUAACCACAAGUGCUCUCAAUCUAUCAUGACCCUUUCACGUGCAACCCCUUAGAGUUGUAAGCCCUUAAAAGGGCCAGGAACGCUGCCUUCGGGUGGGGGAGCUUGGUUCUUGAGAUGCGAGUCUGCUGGAGCUCCCGGCCAAAUAAAGCCAAAUCCUUCCUUAA